GACGAACGCUGGCGGCGUGCUUAACACGUGCAAGUCGAACGGAAAGGCCCCCACCUUGGUGGGGGUGCUCGAGUGGCGAACGGGUGAGUAACACGUGGGUGAUCUGCCCUGUACUUCGGGAUAAGCUUGGGAAACUGGGUCUAAUACCGGAUAGGACCAUGGUUUAGUGUCUCAUGGUGGAAAAAUUAUUGUUUUGGUGCAGGAUGAGCUCGCGGCCUAUCAGCUUGUUGGUGGGGUAAUGGCCUACCAAGGCGUCGACGGGUAGCCGGCCUGAGAGGGUGGACGGCCACAUUGGGACUGAGAUACGGCCCAGACUCCGACGGGAGGCAGCAGUGGGGAAUAUUGCACAAUGGGCGCAAGCCUGAUGCAGCGACGCCGCGUGGGGGAUGACGGCCGUCGGGUGGUAAACUCCUUUCGUUAGGGACGAAGCCACACCUUUUUUGGGUGUGGUGACGGUACCUUUGUUAAGAAGCACCGGCUAACUACGUG
rnacentral:rRNA from 1 species